GAUGAACGCUGGCGGCGUGCCUAAUACAUGCAAGUCGAGCGAACAGACGAGGAGCUUGCUCCUCUGACGUUAGCGGCGGACGGGUGAGUAACACGUGGAUAACCUACCUAUAAGACUGGGAUAACUUCGGGAAACCGGAGCUAAUACCGGAUAAUAUAUUGAACCGCAUGGUUCAAUAGUGAAAGACGGUUUUGCUGUCACUUAUAGAUGGAUCCGCGCCGCAUUAGCUAGUUGGUAAGGUAACGGCUUACCAAGGCAACGAUGCGUAGCCGACCUGAGAGGGUGAUCGGCCACACUGGAACUGAGACACGGUCCAGACUCCUACGGGAGGCAGCAGUAGGGAAUCUUCCGCAAUGGGCGAAAGCCUGACGGAGCAACGCCGCGUGAGUGAUGAAGGUCUUCGGAUCGUAAAACUCUGUUAUUAGGGAAGAACAAAUGUGUAAGUAACUAUGCACGUCUGGGCGGGACCUAAUCAGAAAGCCACGGCGAACUACGU
rnacentral:rRNA from 1 species